CCAUGCCGCGUGUGUGAAGAAGGCCUUCGGGUUGUAAAGCACUUUGUUCGGGAAGAAGUCUUCCGACCUAAUACGUCGGGAGGAUGACGGUACCGAAAGAAUAAGCACCGGCUAACUUCGUGCCAGCAGCCGCGGUAAUACGAAGGGUGCAAGCGUUACUCGGAAUUACUGGGCGUAAAGCGUGCGUAGGUGGUUCGUUAAGUCUGCCGUGAAAGCCCCGGGCUCAACCUGGGAAUGGCGGUGGAUACUGGCGGACUAGAGUGCGGUUGAGGGUGGUGGAACUCCCGGUGUAGCAGUGAAAUGCGUAGAGAUCGGGAGGAACAUCUGUGGCGAAGGCGGCCACCUGGACCAGCACUGACACUGAGGCACGAAAGCGUGGGGAGCAAACAGGAUUAGAUACCCUGGUAGUCCACGCCCUAAACGAUGCGGACUGGACGUUGGGCUCAAUUAGGAGCUCAGUGUCGAAGCUAACGCGUUAAGUCCGCCGCCUGGGGAGUACGGUCGCAAGACUG
rnacentral:rRNA from 1 species